ensembl:lncRNA
GGAAAUAUAGGUUUUUCAAACACUAACGCUUGUGCUCUAUUUUUGUUGAGCUGCCUUUUUUCCAAGCUGUUUUUUUUCGUUGGCGUCUUAAUUGUAUUUUGUAGCCUGAAUGUUUCUUUUUGGAUUCCAAAGACUGAAGCUGUCGCUCCCUGCUGAGCCCAGUCCACCAGUAGCUCUAUUUGCCAAUCUGUUAAUCAAGGACAUUUCUAAUGACUGCCUGUUAGCAGCAUUGCAUUAUUAUAUGCACUUGAGGGAGUCCAUUUGAGUGCUGGUUUAUUAUAAUAGCUGUCUGAACUCCUUUUCCCAGCCUUAAUUCCACACUACGUGGAGGCUCCAGCCAGUCCAUUCAGACUUGGGGCUGCUCGCUGUGCGUAAUUCGUUCACUUUCAGCUUUUAAAAAAUGAAUCAAUUUCUCCACAAAUUUCAACGUCUCCCUUUCGGGAUCAAACGCGCUCCAAAAUCUGUUAACUGUAAGGACAUAACACAGUUAACGCCUGUAGCCACAUUGUACCUCCAUGUCUUUCUGUCAGUGUUGCCUUCAUAUUAAUACUGUCAAUGUUUUAUGGCAUUUAACAUGAGACCGGCUACACAUGGAAAGCUUUUUAGAAGCUGAUUAAGUUAGGAAAGGUUAGAGGCUAAGCUUUACCAUUGACCACAAUGCAACCUAUGUAGGAGUUUGUCCGCUCGCUUGAUCUCUCGCUUUGCCUUUGUUGUAACUGAGCAUGCUUCGUUUAGAGAACUCUGACUCGUAAAUUGACAGUAGUAGUCCCAGUUUUGGUGGGACAUCGGUGUACAAAAAGUGGCUAGGUUGACAGGCGUGUAUUUCCUUGCAUACCUCGAACAAAGCUCACCAAAUUGCUGCUUUGUGCAACUCUGGCUCGAGUUGUCUUAUAGUGAGCCACUUCAGGCCAGUAACUUUAUUUGUUAUGUUUUUGGUUUGUAAUCCAUUUUUCCUCGUACUCUGUUGACUUGAUCUUGUAAGGCCGUCGCAGAAUCUCGCCAACCCUUACCCUGCCCGGGCUGUGAAGUGAAACAAUAACUUUGCCAACACAUUGCACUUCAACUGUGACAGAGGCACUGACUUAACAUGGGGAAACAACUUUCUACUCCUUGUAAACCCAAUGGGUUCCUAUGUGUAAAAACCACAAGUACAGAUACUGUUUAAGCUCCCUUAGGAAUUGUGGCCCCCCCCCCCAGCAAAGUGCACUUCUGCUCGACCUUCCCCCAAAGUGUGUUAGGGACGUUCAGAGUGCAGGGACCACUCUGGAGGCCAACACUCUCCUCCACCUCCUUGCAGCCUGGGUUUUGCCAGCUAAUUCAGGUAUACAGUUUUGGUUCAGCUCUCGCUGUCCUACUAUCCUGGCUAGCCUUAGGGUGAGGCACAGGGUCAUGCUGAAUUCUGCUGCCGUGUCUUUAAUGAAUGUAUAUAUACAAAAAACGGAAUAGUGGUGAUUUCUGAUAUCAACCACUUGUUUUCUUUAGUUAUACUUUUUUUUUUUUUUAAACACAGACCGGACUGAAAGAUGAUCUCACAGGACAGUUUUUCAUUUCAGAGGGGGAAAUGAUUUGAGGGACAGCAUUCUAAAUUAACAUUGAAAGGUCACACUGAAUGAACUCAGACUUCAAAGAUGGCUUUGGUAAUCCUUUUACUUAAUCCCAAAGGCUUCUGACUCCUACAGAUCCACAGCAGUGACGUGUCUGAUGUUUUUACAACAACCCAUUAGUCAAGUGUUUUUAAAUGGCAAGACUCUUGUUGUUUUUCUUGGACUUCAUAAUACCACGCCACACCAGUGGCCCUUGUCCUUCACUUGUAAUUAUGAUAGAUCUUUAUCAAAAUAUUAACACGUACUUCAGUAUCUAUACAAUAUACAGAAUGGACAAACUUAGUUACAGUAGCAAACAGCAGGUUUAUAAUGGUUAAUAGCAGUGUUCAAUGUACUCUAAUGGUUUUGUGUUACAGUAUCAGUUUAGAAUAACUAAUGUACGGUUUCGUAUAUUGAUAUCCAGUACCAGGUGUCCUGCGCCUGUGUAUGUUCCUUUUGGCAGGAGCUUUGCAGUUUUCUUUUCUUUUUUUCUUCUCAAAAAUAAACAGUAUUUAUGUAAUGAUGCAUAAAGUGGUUCUGAACUUCUUGAGGUCAGCCAUUUUAUUUUGUGUUUUGAUUGUUGUAGUGAAUGUUUUUAUUCUUUGUACAUUUUUUACAGGGAUUUUAGACUACCUACUUGAUUGUGGUAUGAUUGAGUUUGUGGAGACCAGGAAAAAACAAAUCCCACCCAAAUGUUAUUUUUCCCUUCCAUGUCUCCCUCACCACCCCUCUUCGGAAGCUUUGGUUGUACUAUUUUAUAGAAAGUGAUGAUGAAAAUAAGUUUUAUUUAUUUAUUUUGUGUAUUGGAACGUCCAUGAAUUUAUUUACAGGUCAAGGUAGUUGCUGGAACCUGCUUGAAAGAAGUUGUGGGGGUAGAAAUACUGAACUGUAUUUGUAAUUUUAUAAUUGUUCCUUGUGUAUAGAGCUUAUCAGCCUGAGAUGAGAAGUGGCAUCAAGGGGAGUUGGCAGUAGGACUUGGAAAUGGUUAAACGGCUCUUCCUAUGCCUUGAAUAUACCUUUGUCUUGUUAACACUUCCUCAUGAGAAUAAUGAUAUUUUUUUCCCUGUUAGUUGUACAUCAGUGUUCUCUCAUGUGUCACAGAAAUGAAGGAAAGUUGAACCACAUGAGUAAACCACAAACUACGUAAGGUUGAAUGUAUAAUUGGGAAACACAAUUGUACAUAUCUGUAAAAAGAGAAGUUUCUAAUCAUGUUUAUUUUCUAUGCACUUUUUUUAUUUAAGUGAUAGUUUAAAUAAUAAACAUGUCUCG